CUUGUGACUGUCCUACCUUCGUAUCCAAGCAGUGGAGCAGACCGGACCGGCAGAUGCUCAGGUUAGAUGGAUCCAGACGCAGACAUGAGGAUGCAAUCAAACGUGGGUUUAUUUGAUCCGGAGCAGCAACAUACGGUUAUACAAUACAGGGAUGCAGUAGCAGUGUAGAUGCUGUCAUGUGGAUGUCUUUCCUGAGGCUAACUGCUGAGGCAACUGCUGAAGCAACUGCUGGUCAAAAACUGAUGCCUUACCAAGCCAAGAUGUGUGUCUCCAG